rnacentral:rRNA from 1 species
GACGAACGCUGGCGGCGUGCUUAACACAUGCAAGUCGAACGGAAAGGCCCUGCUUUUGUGGGGUGCUCGAGUGGCGAACGGGUGAGUAACACGUGAGUAACCUGCCCUUGACUUUGGGAUAACUUCAGGAAACUGGAGCUAAUACCGGAUAGGAGCUCCUGCUGCAUGGUGGGGGUUGGAAAGUUUCGGCGGUUGGGGAUGGACUCGCGGCUUAUCAGCUUGUUGGUGGGGUAGUGGCUUACCAAGGCUUUGACGGGUAGCCGGCCUGAGAGGGUGACCGGCCACAUUGGGACUGAGAUACGGCCCAGACUCCUACGGGAGGCAGCAGUGGGGAAUAUUGCACAAUGGGCGGAAGCCUGAUGCAGCAACGCCGCGUGCGGGAUGACGGCCUUCGGGUUGUAAACCGCUUUCGCCUGUGACGAGGCGUGAGUGACGGUAAUGGGUAAAGAAGCACCGGCUAACUACGUG